GACAGAGGCCCCAAGCGUUAGGCGGAAUCACUGGGCUUAAAGCGAGUGUAGGCGGAUCGUUAAGUGUCUUGUGAAAUCCCACGGCUCACCCGUGGAACUGCUGGGCAUACUGGCGAUCUUGGGCCAACUAGGGGCAGCCGGAACAAGCGGUGGAGCGGUGAAAUGCGUAGAUAUCGCUUGGAACGCCGAAGGUGAAAACAGGCUGCUGGGGUUGUGCCGACGCUGAGACACGAAAGCCAGGGGAGCAAACGGG
rnacentral:rRNA from 1 species